GGCCAUUUAGCUUGGUGGUUAGAGUACCCAGUAUAUAACUGGGAGGUUCUGGGUUCAAACCCCAGUCUGGUCU